AUAUAAAUAUAUAUAUGUAUGUAUGUGUGUGAUGUGACUGCUUAGUGUUCAGCUUGCUGAAAGUUUCUCAAGGACACACCUGUUCAUGGACAGGAAUAAAGCAGGAAUAGGUAAAGUGCAGAGAUACAAAUUACUUUAGAAACAAACAUAUACAUUCAGCUCUUAUGAACCAAUCACGCUCUUAGCCAACUCAAAGCAUCCACCAUUAUCAAUUUUUGGGUUGUAUUAGCUGAAGAGGCCUGUCAAAAUACGGUAUAUAAGAAGGAAGAGAGUAGAGAGAGGAGAGAAGAAAGGAAAGAAAGAAAGGAGACAAGUAGACAACCUCUUACUGGGCCCAGAGAAAGUAUGUUUCAGGCUCCACACGAAAAACACUCAGGAAAUGGAAUGAAACAGCAGCAAAGGCACUGCAAACGCUCAUCUAUGGACAUAAAAGAAAUAGGAAGUUUGCCUUCAACUACGAUACUCAUCCAUCAGCCUUCAAAAUGGUGACAACAAGAAACCCACAGACCUGCUCCAGACCGGAGAGAAGUGUACUGCCAGCAGCGACAACAAGAAAUGCACAGACCAGCUCCAUAUAAUAGAGUAGUGUACUAUCAGUAGUGACAACAAGAAACCAGACCAGAGAGAAGUCUACUGCCAGCAACAAGUAAUAAGCUACUCCAAAAAGAUGACUGCAAAGCCAAAAGUAAGAGAGUGUUUCAAAAGGAUGCUGCCUGCAAAUCAAAGGCCUCACCAUCUGCACAAGAGGGAAGCAUAUUAGAUGGGAAAAGACUUAGAAGAAAAGCCCAGACCAACUGUAGGUGAGAGAAGUUUCCAAUAUAAUUGUUGCAUCAACAAGAGCCUCUGUGAAACUACGGAAGUCAUUAAGGAGAAAAGCUUUCUGAAAAGUAAAAAGACAUUCCACUUUAUGCUUUAUUAAUUGGGAAAAUAAGGGUUACAGAAGUUUAUUUGUUGCUGCCAACCCCAACAGUGAGAAAGAGCCUCUGUGACAUGGGUGAUUACAGACAUCAUCAAGAAGGAAAGACUUGCAAAAAGAAAAGGAAGAAAAGAACAUUACCAUUUUCCAGGUGCCAUGGUCAAUG